CAAUCGACGGGUACCGGGCGAUAAUAUUAUUUAUCACUCCGGUUCCACCCCGGUCGUCACCACGCCCCGGGUCGGCCGGGUGCCGCCGACCGAGAGGAAUAUCGAUUUCUUCGUCGACUCUCAAAGUAUUAAAAAAAAUUUAACCGCUCAGAACGUCCAUCCACCACGACGGGUAUAUUCCGCAAGCAGAUCAUCGUUGCUGGAAUGACCCAUGAUCGCGGAACGAUCGGGUCACCGGCAGGUCUCACGCUUAGGGCGGAUGAAACGGUGUCAUCACCGCGGUCUUUUACCUCCAGAUCUGCACCUGGAGGACGCGAAUCGUACCCGCAAGGAACCGAGAUCCCGUAGCGGGCAGAAUCGU